rnacentral:rRNA from 1 species
UGAGGAACAUGACCUUCGGCGGGGGAUAGCCGGCCCAACGGCCGGGUAAUACCGCGUACGACCACAUGGGGACAUCCCUGAGUGGUGAAAGCAGCAAUGCGCCGAUGGAGUGCCUCGCGGCCUAUCAGCUAGUUGGUGAGGUAACGGCUCACCAAGGCAACGACGGGUAGCUGGUCUGAGAGGAUGGCCAGCCACAUUGGGACUGAGACACGGCCCAGACUNUACCGGGAGG